CCCUUAGAUGCUCUGGGCUGCACGCGCGCUACACUGACGCACGCAACAGGUGCCUGCUCCGAGAGGACUGGGUAAUCAUUUGAGUGUGCGUCGUGAUGGGGAUAGAAUAUUGUAAUUAUUACUCUUCAACGAGGAAUUCCUAGUAAGCGCAAGUCAGCAGCUUGCGCUGAUUACGUCCCUGCCCUUUGUACACACCGCCCGUCGCUCCUACCGAUGGGUGAUCCGGUGAAUGAUUCGGACUUCAGCGGCUCCUCUGGGGUGCGCCGGAGAAAGUUUUGUGAACCUUAUCACUUGGAGGAAGGAGAAGUCGUAACA
rnacentral:rRNA from 1 species